rnacentral:lncRNA from 1 species
UUAAAUCAUCCUUCAUCCACUGGACAACAAGCUCCUAUCGCUGUGCAUCUCUGUUAAAUGGAGGGAACACCACCAGGUGAUGGACAUCAGGGCCAACCUUGGGUGAGCUGAUCCUGGAGGUGUUACCGCACUUCACACCUCCAAGCUCUCACUGUGUUAGCAGCUCACCUGUGACUUGAGGCAAAUGUCAGAGAAGCUUCUUUGCUAAUCUGACAGAUCUUUUUGAAUAAGUUCAGCUCCUGGAUUUCAUUUAUCUGCAGUGGGUAGUCAGCAUUCCCUUAAAUGUAUUGAAAAAAUCCUAAAUCCACAAAGAAAAUGUCCCUCUAAAAUGACAUUUAAGAUGGACGGGAAAAAAGAAAAAGAAAGCAGAUCAACCUUUGCUGUAAGCUCAUCAAUGCAGUUGCUCCAGAUUAGUACUGAUAUAACUGGAAUCUGCACCCCGCCCACAUAAGAAAUCUGUAAUUAGCAGGUGGGAGAUCACACACGGUUCUGUGGAAAUUUUACAUGUAUUUUAAAAAGAAAGUCUGCAAUGGAUUAGAGCUACUUGAUUCCUAUUCUGGGUUGUUCCCAACAGUGCUUUUGCGAAGUUAUGUUUUUUCUUCUCCACCCUGCAGAUUUCAGUUGUGUGAAGGAAGCAUCACAGCUUCCUCUGCAAUGCAUGGUGAAGCAGCAGUGGCUGCUGCUGGUCCUGAUCUGCAGGUCCUGCUGCUCUUGAGGAGCCAUCCCUCCGUGGGGCUUUAUGUCUGGAAGUGUGCCAUUUAUGGAGGGGCUGAUGGAACUUGGCUGGUUUGGGCAGAGCUCCCACUUUUCUCAGGAGAGGAAGACAGCUUCACAGUGCAUCGCAGAAAUUUAGCAGUCCCACACUCCCAUCGCAAAGACACAUGAAAGACAUUUGUAACAAAGACUCUUCUGUUCUUCCUCUGGAGGGGUGCUCCUCACAUUCUGGGAAACAUUGCUGCAGGGUUGAAACUGGAAG